rnacentral:rRNA from 1 species
UACGUAGGUGGCAAGCGUUGUCCGGAAUUAUUGGGCGUAAAGCGCGCGCAGGCGGUCCUUUAAGUCUGAUGUGAAAGCCCACGGCUCAACCGUGGAGGGUCAUUGGAAACUGGGGGACUUGAGUGCAGAAGAGGAAAGCGGAAUUCCACGUGUAGCGGUGAAAUGCGUAAAGAUGUGGAGGAACACCAGUGGCGAAGGCGGCUUUCUGGUCUGUAACUGACGCUGAGGCGCGAAAGCGUGGGGAGCAAACAGG